UUAUUUAUAAUUUAAUUAUUUUUUAAUUUAAAGGACUCUAAUAAAAAUAUUUUUUAUCAUAGUAUAAAUUUUAUUGAAUAUGAUUAUUCUUAUUUAUAGUUAAUCUCACUGUAAAGGUGAAUAUUUUAAUAAAUUAAAAGUAUAAUUCUUUUUUUGUACCUUUUGCAUCAGGGUUUAUCAAUUUAUAAACUUAUAGUAUAAUUCCCGAAAUUAUGGGGGCUAUUAUUUAUUGCUUUUUGAUGUUAUAUAUUCAUUUGUAAAUUAUUAAUAGGGUUAUAUGCCAUUCAUUCAUAAAUAUCUGGUUUUUUAAUAAUUGAAUUUAAUUCAGGGUUUGUAUUAUUUAUUGUAAAUUAAAUUACUCUUAAUAUACAAAAUCAAAUAUUUUCAGGGAUAAGCUUGAAUUUAAUUUUAUAGAUAUUUUAUUUUAAUUAUUUGUUGUAGGAUUAGAAACUUCCAUCAUAAAUUUCGUUAUAGUUUAUAUAAUUCUGUUAUUUAUUUUAUGAUAAUCUUAAAUUUUUAUUGAAAUUUUUAAUUUAUUUAUUAAAUUAAAGUAAUAAUGAUAAAAUUAGUAAUUUUGGUAAAUAAAAUAUAGUAACUCGGCAAAUUUUAUAUUCACCUGUUUAUCAAAAACAUGUCCUGUUGAAAAUUUAUUUCAGGUCUGGCCUGCCCACUGAUUAUUAUUGAAGGGCCGCGGUAUUUUGACCGUGCGAAGGUAGCAUAAUCAUUUGUCUUUUAAUUGUAGGCUUGAAUGAAUGGUUUUAUGAGAUAUAAACUUUCUUUAUUUUAUUAAAAUAAAUUUAAUUUUUUAGUUAAAAAGCUAAAAUUGUUCUGUUGGACGAGAAGACCCUAUAGAAUUUUAUAAAUCAAAUCUUUUCUUUAUUUGGUAAUUUAUGUGGAAGAGUUUUAUUAUUUAUUUUGUUGGGGCGAUGGGGAAAUUUUAUAAACUUUCUUUAUAUAUUAUAUUAUUGAUUUAUAUAUUAUUGAUCCUGUAUUUACGGAUAAUAAGAUUAAAUUACCUUAGGGAUAACAGCGUAAUUCUUAUGGAGAGUUCAUAUCGAUAUUGGAGUUUGCGACCUCGAUGUUGGAUUAAAAUUAGAUUAUAGUGUAGCAGCUAUUUUUCUAGGUCUGUUCGACCUUUAAAUAUUUACAUGAUCUGAGUUCAGACCGGCGUGAGCCAGGUUGGUUUCUAUCCUCAAUUAAUUCUUAUUCUUUAGUACGAAAGGACCAAGGAUAGUAGAUAUUCUAUAUAUAAUGAUUAUAAAUAAUU
rnacentral:rRNA from 1 species